UUUAUUGCCAAUGCAGCAUCAUCAAGAUUCUCAGUACCAAAAAGCUAUGGCAGAGCGAAAAAGCAAUGAACUCACCACCUUGCUUUUUCAUGUGAAUCUUGAUGGUGCUACACCAGCAAACAA
rnacentral:pre_miRNA from 1 species